GUCCAGCAGAGAUCUGGGAAUGCUGCUCCCGGCAGCUCCUGCUGGGGCUGGUGCAGGAGGGAUGUGGUAGCUGCUGGCAGAUAAAAGUGAGGCUGCUGUGGACAGGGGUUAGGAGGGUGGGGUUGGGUUGAGGGGGUUGAGGUGGGGAUGUUGGGGUUGGAACUGAGUGGAGGAUGUUGAGGAUGUUGGGGUUGGGUUGAGGUUGAGUUGGAGAUGUUGGGGUUGAGGUUGGGGUUGGGUUGGAGAUGUUGAGGCUGCGGCUCAGUGGAGGACAUUGAGGAUAUUGGGGUUGAGGUUGAAUUGAGGAUGUUGGAGUUAGGUUGAGAAGGUUGAGUUGGAGAUGUUGGGGUUGGGGUUGGGGUUGGGUUGAGGCAGUUGAGGAUGUUGAGUUUGGGGUUCAGUGGAGGACAUUGAGACAUCGGGAUUGAGUUGAGGUUGAGGGAGUUGAAUUGAGGAGCUUGAGGUUGCGUUGAAGAGGUUGAGGUUGGGUUGAGGAGCAUUGAGGAUGUUGAAGUUGCAUUGAGGAGCCUCACGUCACGCUGCUGAUAUUGUGUUGUGCUUCUCAUGCCCAUGAGCCACCUCCCCCUGCCCAAGCUGACCCCUGGCUCCUUUCUUCC